rnacentral:rRNA from 1 species
UACGUAGGGUGCAAGCGUUGUCCGGAUUUAUUGGGCGUAAAGAGCUCGUAGGCGGUUUAGCAAGUCGGGUGUGAAAUCCCUCGGCUCAACCGAGGAACUGCCUUGGAAACUGUCUGGCUUGAGGCCGGGAGAGGGUAGUGGAAUUCCCAGUGUAGCGGUGAAAUGCGUAGAUACUGGGAGGAACACCGGUGGCGAAGGCGGCUACCUGGACCGGUUCUGACGCUGAGGCGCGAAAGCGUGGGUAGCAAACAGG